rnacentral:rRNA from 1 species
UUCGGAGUGUAAACCACUGUCGGGAGGGACGAAGCUCUGACGGUACCUCCAAAGGAAGCACCGGCUAACUCUGUGCCAGCAGCCGCGGUAAUACAGAGGGUGCGAGCGUUGUCCGGAAUCACUGGGCGUAAAGGGCGCGUAGGCGGCCUGGUAAGUAGGGGGUGAAAUCCUGCGGCUCAACCGCAGGGCUGCCUCCUAAACUGCCAGGCUGGAGCACGGUAGAGGCAGAUGGAAUUCCCGGUGUAGCGGUGGAAUGCGUAGAGAUCGGGAAGAACACCAGUGGCGAAGGCGGUCUGCUGGGCCGUUGCUGACGCUGAGGCGCGACAGCGUGGGGAGCAAACAGGAUUAGAUACCCUGGUAGUCCACGCCGUAAACGAUGGGUACUAGGCGUCGGGGGGAGCGACCCUCCCGGUGCCGUCGCUAACGCAGUAAGUACCCCGCCUGGGGAGUACGGCCGCAAGGCUGAAACUCAAAUGAAUUGACGGA